rnacentral:misc_RNA from 1 species
CACCACUCAAGCCUCGCUUGGUAUUGGGCGCCGCGCCUGCCGCGCGCCUUAAUGUCUCCGGCUGAGCUCAUCGUCUCUUAGCGUUGUGGCAAACAAUGUUCGCUUGUGAGACUGACGGGUUUGCGCCGUUAAAACAUCCUUCUAAAA